UUGGUAGUGUUUUUUCAGGUUCCUUUUCAUAGUCAAGAGGAUAAUACAUUCUUCUCUUUCAGAGUCUUAUCCUAUAGACAAGCAAUUAUAUGAGAUCUGAAAAAAAUACGUCACAAGAGUUGGAUCAGAGAUUCUUCAAAACUGAAACAGGGUCAGAGUUUCUUCUUUGGUGCCAGUGGACUCCAUGCAGUACCUGUUCCAUCCAGGAUGUAAUUGAAAGUAGAGACUAAAGGCAAUGAGGAGGACCAUCUACUUUGCUCAGUGCAGCAGCAUAUUGGAGAAACAGAACGGAUGGCAAACUUGAAUCUUUGUAAUUCUGUGUUUAGAUUACAGGUAUUUUAUUUUCUU
rnacentral:lncRNA from 1 species